rnacentral:rRNA from 1 species
ACCAGCAGCCAUAUCACCCUGCAAGUCACAACUGACAACCCACUGAAGCUCAGCAGGGGUGAGCCUGGUCAGUACCUGGAUGGGAGUACCCCCUAGGAAAAACUAAUGUUGCUGCUGGAA